CUCUUACGAAGAAACCGUUCUACGGAAGCCCAGUUGAGACAACUUGAGACAGGAUUCAGAAACGCUGAUUUUAGUAACCUUAACCCUCGGCCUUUGGUGGGAACUUCGGCUCUGUGGGAAUUAGUCUUUGGGGGACUGAUGGUGAUGCUGAAAUCUUAUUGCGUAGGAAAUUAAGUACAACAAAGAAGACCCGUCGUGAGAGGAGAGUGCGGAAGAAAUGCGAAGUCUACGGGAGGUGGCAGCUGCAGAAGCUUGGUGUUGGAUUUGGAGUUAGGAGACCGGGAGGAGCCCAGCUUCCGGUCCAGACGGUUAUCUUGUUGACUUGCACGACUGCAAACGCCCUGAGCUGCUUUUGCAGUCUGAAACAUCAGCGAUCCCAUCAAAAUAUUCUGUUUCUUGGGAUAUAAGAAACAUCCCAAGGCGGGCUGUAGAGCGAGAGAUUUGGACUCGAUUUAAAUACAGACAAAAUAGUAUGCAUUUACUAACACCACAUCUCACCCCCACGAAACUUGGUAAGGGCAGCAACAGAACUUUAUCUGCCAUAUGCACUCCUGUAUUCCUAUUACCAAAUAGUGCCAGGGACUAAGUGAAUAUUUGCCCAAUGAAUGAGUUUUAAGUAGGAAACGUUUGCAUAGAAUCAUUUUGUUUCUUUUGGAGUUCAAAUCUUCGGAUAUUUUACCCUUCCCAAUCCAAAGAAAAGUCUCUGAGUGAAGAGAUGGGAACAAAAUGUAAGUUAAAUAUGUUGCUUUAACAACUGUUUAUUGAACUCGUGCUAUAUACUGUAGAAUGAUGAGCAAAACCAGGCACAGUUUCGGCCCUGGAAGAGGAAAGGCAGGCAUAUAUUUAUCAACCAAGCCCAGCACAACAAUGGCACACAGCAGUUGCUGCCCAAGCCUGGGUGCUCCUGGUGGUCCUGCACGAUCGG
rnacentral:lncRNA from 1 species